UCCGUAGGUGAACCUGCGGAAGGAUCAUUAAUGAAUUUUAGGACUCUCUUUUUAGAGGUCCGACCCCUUCAUUUCCAUACACUGUGCACACACUUCUUUUCACACAUUUUAACACUAUAGUAUAAGAAUGUAACAGUCUCUUUAUUGAGCAUAAAUAAAAAUAAAACUUUCAGCAACGGAUCUCUUGGCUCUCGCAUCGAUGAAGAACGCAGCGAAUUGCGAUAAGUAAUGUGAAUUGCAGAAUUCAGUGAAUCAUCGAAUCUUUGAACGCACCUUGCACUCUUUGGUAUUCCGAAGAGUAUGUCUGUUUGAGUGUCAUGAAACUCUCAACCCCCCUAUUUUGUAAUGAGAUGGGCGUGGGCUUGGAUUAUGACUGUUGUCGGCGUAAUUGCCGGCUCAGUUGAAAUACACGAGCAACCCAUUUGAAAUAAACGGUUUGACUUGGCGUAAUAAUUAUUUCGCUAAGGACGUUUUCUUCAAAAGUAAGAGGUGCUUCUAAUGCGCUAUUACAGCACUUUAAAUUUUAGACCUCAAAUCAGUCAGGACUACCCGCUGAACUUAAGCAUAUCAAUAAGCGGAGGAAAAGAAACUAACAAGGAUUCCCCUAGUAACGGCGAGUGAAGUGGGA
rnacentral:rRNA from 1 species